GGGACACGUGGUAUCCUGUCUGAAUAUGGGGGGACCAUCCUCCAAGGCUAAAUACUCCUGACUGACCGAUAGUGAACCAGUACCGUGAGGGAAAGGCGAAAAGAACCCCGGCGAGGGGAGUGAAAAAGAACCUGAAACCGUGUACGUACAAGCAGUGGGAGCACGCUUAGGCGUGUGACUGCGUACCUUUUGUAUAAUGGGUCAGCGACUUAUAUUCUGUAGCAAGGUUAACCGAAUAGGGGAGCCGAAGGGAAACCGAGUCUUAACUGGGCGUUAAGUUGCAGGGUAUAGACCCGAAACCCGGUGAUCUAGCCAUGGGCAGGUUGAAGGUUGGGUAACACUAACUGGAGGACCGAACCGACUAAUGUUGAAAAAUUAGCGGAUGACUUGUGGCUGGGGGUGAAAGGCCAAUCAAACCGGGAGAUAGCUGGUUCUCCCCGAAAGCUAUUUAGGUAGCGCCUCGUGAAUUCAUCUCCGGGGGUAGAGCACUGUUUCGGCAAGGGGGUCAUCCCGACUUACCAACCCGAUGCAAACUGCGAAUACCGGAGAAUGUUAUCACGGGAGACACACGGCGGGUGCUAACGUCCGUCGUGAAGAGGGAAACAACCCAGACCGCCAGCUAAGGUCCCAAAGUCAUGGUUAAGUGGGAAACGAUGUGGGAAGGCCCAGACAGCCAGGAUGUUGGCUUAGAAGCAGCCAUCAUUUAAAGAAAGCGUAAUAGCUCACUGGUCGAGUCGGCCUGCGCGGAAGAUGUAACGGGGCUAAACCAUGCACCGAAGCUGCGGCAGCGACGCUUAUGCGUUGUUGGGUAGGGGAGCGUUCUGUAAGCCUGUGAAGGUGUGCUGUGAGGCAUGCUGGAGGUAUCAGAAGUGCGAAUGCUGACAUAAGUAACGAUAAAGCGGGUGAAAAGCCCGCUCGCCGGAAGACCAAGGGUUCCUGUCCAACGUUAAUCGGGGCAGGGUGAGUCGACCCCUAAGGCGAGGCCGAAAGGCGUAGUCGAUGGGAAACAGGUUAAUAUUCCUGUACUUGGUGUUACUGCGAAGGGGGGACGGAGAAGGCUAUGUUGGCCGGGCGACGGUUGUCCCGGUUUAAGCGUGUAGGCUGGUUUUCCAGGCAAAUCCGGAAAAUCAAGGCUGAGGCGUGAUGACGAGGCACUACGGUGCUGAAGCAACAAAUGCCCUGCUUCCAGGAAAAGCCUCUAAGCAUCAGGUAACAUCAAAUCGUACCCCAAACCGACACAGGUGGUCAGGUAGAGAAUACCAAGGCG
rnacentral:rRNA from 1 species